rnacentral:tRNA from 1 species
CCCGCUUCCAUUUUAAUAGAGGAUUUCGAAAUGAAAGUAUUUCGAUUAGUAGUAAGUGACAAACGUUUAGGUAAGAAU